rnacentral:lncRNA from 1 species
UUAUUUAAACAGUCAUAAAUCAACAAGAAAAGGGGACGGCAACAUAACUGAAAGCCUUAUGCUACCUGAUUGACCCGAGAUUGCCAUUGUUAAGCUAUAGUCCCACAGAUAUAGAAUCAACCUCUCUUUCUAGAAGUUAUUAUCACCACGGCUGAGCACAACAACCCCAAAUCCAUCACUGCCGAUUCCUAUCCAUUGCUUCUAACUUCCUUAUCAAGCUCAAUCUGCCAUCACCAACCCUUUUACCACCUGCAAACCUACCAUCCUAAAAUCACAGUCACACAAUAAACACAACCUAGAACCAAAAAACCAACAUUCAAUUACACAGCAGCAUUCAAACAGGGAAUAACUAUACAAAAAAGUCGUAAUAUUCAG